ensembl:lncRNA
CAGAGGACCAUCACUACUGGUAGCAUCUCUGGCUGCUGCUGAUCUUGUUUUUGGAGUAAAACACGGUGGAAGCUGAAUUAGUGAGGAUGACUCCUGCUCCUGUCAUCUCUAAGCUCCUCACACAUCUUUACCUGCACAUGAGGAAAAUCACUCCUGCAGAAUGCAGAUGUUCAGAGGGAGAUGAUGCCACAUCUGGUCCAGCUGAUGGAAGGUCUUGAAGUUCUCUGACUUGCCUCGACUGAAGAUGGUCGUCUCACUGGAUUUAAGAUGCACAAUGAGGGACGUCUGCAGAGACUGAGAAAGAGUCUCACCACAUCCUGACAUGAGGAAAAAGACUUUAUUGAAGACUACAAUGAGAAAAACUAUCAGACAGCAGACGGCUGCAUUCAAGGUGAGCUCUGAACAUUUGAUCUGGAACAGGAAUUCAAUAACGGCAGCAUGAGCUUCAUUUCAGUCUGUAGCUGCUGAAUUCAUGGAUGAAUCAUCUGGCACUAGAGAGGAAGACCA